rnacentral:rRNA from 1 species
UACGUAGGGGGCAAGCGUUGUCCGGAUUCAUUGGGCGUAAAGAGCGUGUAGGCGGCCAGGUAGGUCGGUUGUGAAAACUGGAGGCUCAACCUUCAGAGGUCGACCGAAACCAUCUGGCUAGAGUCCGGGAGAGGAGAGUGGAAUUCCUGGUGUAGCGGUGAAAUGCGCAGAUAUCAGGAAGAACACCCGUGGCGAAAGCGGCUCUCUGGGACGGUACUGACGCUGAGACGCGAAAGCGUGGGAGCGAACAGG